GAGCAGCAGAUCGGUCUCCGUCGCCAACCAGACCUUCGCACGCCCGAUCCAGCCCUACGCCCCCUCCGCGGCCGAUCCAUCCCCGUGUCGCGGCCGAUCCAUGCCCUAUGCCGCCGCCGAUGCCUCCUCCUCCACCUCCAUUCCCAAGCGAGGGCGCCCGCGGCCGCGGUCUUCUCCCCCAGCCACCAUGGCUGCAGAUCCACUCACGGCCGGUCGUCUAAGCUGCAAGCAUGGAUGGAUGGAUCCAGGAAGGUAUCCUUCCUCCCUGGGUGGAGCGAGCUGCACAUCCCAUUCGGCCCUCUGUAGCCGGCCAUCUCCGCCUCCUCCUCGCCGUCGCCGCCGCCGGGGAUCGCGUCUUCACCAAGCGCGAGCUCCGCCCCAUCCGACCGACCGCAAAGGGGUUGUCCAUUGUAAAUUUUCAAGGAGAUUCAAAUGUUCCUCUUCUGGAUGAUUGAAGGGAUACUUGAAGCUAGGGCAAUCCAAGUAAGAUAGCUUCAUCCUCAGGCAACAGGUUUAUGUUAUCUUAUCAUGGAGUCAUUUUUAAGUUUGUGCCCAACGCCUUCAUCCUUAGAAUGGCUGCCCAGAUGGCAAGCCACCGUACUCAGGCGACUGCCGCGCUAGCAGGGUGCUCCAACUUUUGAUGCUGGCGAAGCUUUUGGAAUGAUGGCUACAUAAUUUGUUAGUCUCCGUUGGAAGCUUAAUUAAACUGAGCUUCUCUGAAGGUUCAGAUGUGUGGCAAAGGAUUUCAAUUUUCCUGUUUACACAAAGGAAACUUGAGGAAGGUUCAUAUUUCUCAUGCUCGGUGCUGUGCUCUCAAGGUUACAUAGACAAAAAUGCCUCCUAUUUACACAACGGCAACCCGACGAAGGUUCAGAUUUCUCAUGACUGGUUCAAUGGGAUGACGGGGCGGGUCGGGAGGCGGGGAAAGCCGUCCAUGGCGAUCCUGGUGGCGUUGCUAAUGGCGUCAGUGGCACUGCCGCUCCUCAUGGUGCCCGACAUGCUCUCUAUGCCAGGCUCCAACGGCGUGGAUCGCAGCGCCGCCCUGUCGCUCCCACGCCCGUGCUUCAGCAGAUCCGUGUUUGAGUCGUGCAUACCUUUAGCCGCUUCCCCUCCAAUGUCCACGACUCUGAUAUACCGUGUUUGUUAGUCUUGACUGGUGUUUGUUCUCCGUAUUGUUGUGCAGGAGGCUGGAGAACAGCAGGGAGAAAAGGGAGUCGUGGAUGGAGACUUGUCCUACAUGGCCGAGCGAGAUCGAGGCUAGCCGCUGGUAAUGUUCUUCUCCCGUGCAAGUUCCGCACUGCAUUGAAGCAUCCAACACAUGAUGUAGCUACGUUACAGGUGGGACAUCAGCCAAGUAUGUUUCGAGGUGAGACGUCCAUCAAGUUUGUUUGGAGAAAUUGUGCAGUCCAGCUCCUGCGUGCUGGUCACCGAGCUCCACUGUGUCCAGCUCAUCCGACCAUGUGCUCCACUGCAUCUAGGUCAGCCGAUCUUGUGGCAGAGCUACACUGACGCAAGAGCAAAUAGUUUUACAAUUUCUUGUUGUUCCUUUGUACUGGAUAACUGUGCAUUUUUAGAGGUGUGAAGAUGUAAUGCAAUAACAGUAACUGGGCGUAGGCACAUCCGUCUCGAUAAGCAUUAUGGGAGCGGACAAAGGCAAGGCAUUCCAAUGUAAGAAAUGGAUGAAGGCAAGGUAUGUCAUUCUAAAAAAGGCAAGGCAUACCAGGAUGCUACAUUGCUUAAUGUCCAGUUCUCUACGCUUUCCCUAUAGCAACCUUUUUUAGAUCUUAUGAGUUGUGUUUUCCUAACAAAAAAAUGUCCAUAUGGAUUCACUGAAAUAAGAUUAUAUUAUCAGCAAUUUUGUUUGCAUGUAAUUAAUUAGUGAUAGCCUAUGCCUCACAUGACUAUUUUUUCCAGUUCAGUUGUAUCCUUCAAUAUGGGUGCAAUGAAGUGUGGAUAGACAAACACAUUUCUUUUAUAUCAUUGACCUUGUUGAUUUAUAUUUUCAAAACUGAUAGGAAUGAAAUCCAUAUGAAUCUUGUGAUGCCAAAGCUCUAAGUGCUGAUGAUUUAAAUUCCUAUUAAAAAAAUCCUUAAAUAGAAAGUGGACCUUAUAGCGGAGAAUAAUGUGUAAGCUACAGGUGGAGUCCAUCUCAAGGGAAGUGAAACCGAAAACAUAGACCACAUUAGAGUCGAAGAUAAGGUGAAUGCAAUCACAGAUCCACAUGAGAGUCAGAUAAGAUUGCUGAAUGCAAUCAGAACUGUCAAAUGUGUGUUUUCCAAUUUUUCAUGCCGCAUGAUCUCUGCCCACUUUACUAGAAGAAGAGCCUUCCUACAUGGUGAAGGUGGAUAAGGAGCCAUUCAACUUAGAGGAAGUGUCUCAAUAAAUGUGUGUGUUACCAAGGUUGAAUUGUCUACUCGCUCUCUUUGAGGUUAUGUUCCUUCCCGUCUAUUAAGCUGUUAGUAUCCUUAUCACCGUGUCUGGCUCCACUGAAAAGCUCACACCGCCAUGCUUGAAGAACAUAAAUGGUGGUACAUUAUUCUGAUAUAUUUUAUGUGCCGCCAUUGUGGUAGAGCCCGGCAUGAAGGGUGGGUCCAGUAUAUAAGCAGGUGGUACUAGCACUAAGAUAGGAAGGUCAUUUCCGCCCUUGUCCUUUGUUGAUGGCCUGCCAAGGCGGCGUCGAUUACUGGUUCAAUUUGAACACGAGUUAGUGGAUUUUAUUAUAAAAGUGAGGUUUAAGAGUGGGUGAUGGUUAUUUGGGUUGAUAUGUUCAGUUAUGGCUGUCUGAGCGAAAUAAUUUCCAUACCUUAGAAAAUAUGGCAAAGUGCAUUUAA